GCCUGGCUCCCCAGUGGGUGGGCCUGGCUCCCCAGUGGGUGGGUCUGGCUCCCCAGUGGGUGGGUCUGGCUCCCCAGUGGGUGGGCCUGGCUGCCCAGUGGGUGGGCCUGGCUGCCCAGUGGGUGGGCCUGGCUCCCCAGUGGGUGGGCCUGGCUCCCCAGUGGGUGGGCCUGGCUCCCCAGUGGGUGGGCCUAUGUCCUCCAAGACCCACCCAUGUAUUUCAGUUAACUGAUUUCAUUUUAUGAACUGUAACUCAGUAAAAACUUUGAAAUUGUUGCAUAUUUUUUCAUUAUAUAUAAACAUAUAUUGUUAUGUUACACUUAACCCUCCUGCUGUGUUCCGGUCGAAUUGGACCAAUUUACAAGUUUUCUCUCUGAAAAAUGUAGAUAAUUUAAUCUGAUUGUCAUCUGAACACACAAUACAUUUGGAUGAUUUUCAUUAAACUUUGGGUGUUUUAUUUAACUUUUGUACACCUGUGGUGUUCCCAGUCAAAAAUGACCAGUCAUUAAUAGGUGAGACUACAAUAAGUGUAUAAAAUUAAGUUCAGGCACAUUCACCAGAUGGACACACUUCCUCUCCCAGACCCCCACAUGCAUGUGUGUUUGAACACACACACACACACACACACACACACACACACACACACACACACACACACACACACACACACACACACACACACACACACACACACACACACACACACACACACCUCACUCCCCUUCUUGGCUUCCAUGGCAACCCCCACAGCAACCUUUCGCCAAUAGAAUAUUUCCCCCACAGGGACCACACCUGUUGACGUUCUCACAAACAAGCGCAAAAUUGUUUCAAUAAUACAUAGAACUUUUCUGGCAGCUCUGGUAUAUAAAGCUUUUUUGAGGCCUUGCUCACAAUUCAUUCUGUAGCAGCACAAUGACCAAACGAUAAACUAUAUGAGAGGCUCUUGAUCAUAUCUUUGAUCAUGACACUGGUGAGGAGGGAGAGAGGCCAGAAAACUGACAGUGAAGAUGCAUUAGAGGAGGAAGUGUCAGAAGUUGAAGACAACACAGAAUAUGAUCCAGACCCCGAGACAUCCGAUGUGGAACAUUCCAGUGAUGAGGAAGAGGGCCCUGCUGAGGUUGUUGUUACAUUCCAGUGAUGAGGAAGAGGGCCCUGCUGAGGUUGUUGUUAGAAUCCAGUGAUGAGGAAGAGGGCCCUGCUGAGGUUGUUGUUAGAAUCCAGUGAUGAGGAAGAGGGCCCUGCUGAGGUUGUUGUUAGAAUCCAGUGAUGAGGAAGAGGGCCCUGCUGAGGUCGUUGUUACAUUCCGGUCAAAGAAUGGGAAUUUGUCCUGGUCUUCAUCCCCACCUGAGAAGAGAGGUCGGCUGACUCGGCUGAAUGUUAUCAGGAUAACCCCAGGGCCAACGAGAUAUGUCAUAUCCCUGACAUAAAAUCCUGCCACUAUUUAAACAUUUGAAAUAGUUUCAAAACAAAUGUCCUUUUUAAACUUUUUUUAGUCUGUGAUAAAUAGCACAAUAUGUUUUAUCUGAGUAUUUGUUAUAGUCAAAAAUAAUCCAUACAUUAUGCUUUUUUUAAAACUAAAAAACGAGUUGUUUGAGCUCAGGUCAAUGAGGCCUACAGGCCAUAAAUAGUUGUAUGAGCUCAGGUCAAUGAGGCCUACAGGACAUAAAUACAUAGAAGUUCAAAACAUGUAAUGUUCACAAGAACUUAAGUUAAUAAAUAGAUCUAAACAACAUUAAGUGAUAAUAUAUGUAUUAUUAUGGAUUUAUAAUCAGCUGUAACGGGGCAGUCAUUUUGGACCAAUUAACAUGAAACGAACACAACAGGAGGGUUAAGUGGCUUGCUUGGCAUUGAGCAGUAAACAAAAAAAAGUAUAACAUUCAUGAUGGUGAAGUUUACGGAGAAAACAAUGUUAGUAAUGGGUAUGAUGGAUGCUGCAGCGGGACUAAGCAGGUUCGCUGGUUGAGUAACCUGCUGGGCCGGUCAGGGAGACCAGGGGGAGACUGCGUUUCCUGCUGUCACGUGAAAGACUGACAAGCGUUGUUGAGUGGUUCUGACCCCAUGACAUGCCCAUACAUGAAAAUCUACUCAAUAUUUACCACUGCAUCAUGUUGCGUUUCUGGAAACACUUUCAACUGAAAAUGGGAUAACUGAAUCAACUAUUUUAUUUUAUUUAGAUUACGCCAAAUGCAUUCGAAUGUAAAACGUUUAGUUCUAUAGACUUGUAGCCGCAAUGAUCUGAAUGAAAAUUGCAAUGAAAAUGUACAUUUCAUGGCCCAAAACUAUUAUAUUUUAAUCUAACGUCAGUGUAAUAAACAACAAAUAGGGCUGGAAAUUAGUGAAAGGGCCUUGUCGUAUACACCACGUUAAUUGAGACAUAUUUUACAUAACCUGGAGAUAUGUUGAGGUGCGCUCGACGCAUCAGCUGUGUCGCAUAGAAAAUACUGAAGUAAAUACAAGGAAAAUGUCAUUAACAUCUCUAAGAAAAAUGAACAGCUGACCACAUGAUAUUCUCCGUAAUGUGGGCCUAUGAGCUUUGGGAAAUUUCGUGACCACCACCGAACUAAAUUUUACAACAUAAACUCAACUUUUUGAUGACACCUUCCCAGUGGGUGUUUUGCCUAGAUGAGGUUUGCACCCGUAGCGCGAAA
ensembl:lncRNA